AUUGAACGCUGGCGGCAGGCCUAACACAUGCAAGUCGAACGAGUGGCGGACGGGUGAGUAAUGUCUGGGAAACUGCCUGAUGGAGGGGGAUAACUACUGGAAACGGUAGCUAAUACCGCAUACCAUCGGAUGUGCCCAGAUGGGAUUAGCUAGUAGGUGGGGUAAAGGCUCACCUAGGCGACGAUCCCUAGCUGGUCUGAGAGGAUGACCAGCCACACUGGAACUUAGAUACGGUCCAGGCUCCUUAGUGAUGCAGCAGUGGCGAAUAUUGCAUAAUGGGCGCUAGCCUGAUGCAGCCAUGCCGCGUGUAUGAAGAAGGCCUUCGGUUUGUAAAGUACUUUCAGCGGGGAGGCGUUACCCGCAGAAGAAGCACCGGCUAACUCCGUGCCAGCCGCCGCGGUAAUUC
rnacentral:rRNA from 1 species